AGCGAACGCUGGCGGCAGGCUUAACACAUGCAAGUCGAGCGGGCACUUUCGGGUGUCAGCGGCGGACGGGUGAGUAACGCGUGGGAACGUGCCCUCUGGUUCGGAAUAACUCAGGGAAACUUGAGCUAAUACCGGAUACGCCCUUUUGGGGAAAGGCUUGCUGCCGGAGGAUCGGCCCGCGUCUGAUUAUCUAGUUGGGGAGGUAACGGCUCACCAAGGCGACGAUCAGUAGCGGGUCUGAGAGGAUGAUCAGCCACACUGGGACUGAGACACGGCACAGACUCCUACGGGAAGCAGCAGUGGGGAAUAUUGGACAAUGGGCGCAAGCCUGAUCCAGCCAUGCCGCGUGAGUGAUGAAGGCCUUAGGGUUGUAAAGCUCUUUUAUCCGGGACGAUAAUGACGGUACCGGAGGAAUAAGCCCCGGCUAACUUCGUG
rnacentral:rRNA from 1 species